rnacentral:rRNA from 1 species
GAUGAACGCUAGCGGCAGGCUUAACACAUGCAAGUCGAGGGGCAGCAUCCUGGCUAGCUAUCUCUCUGGUGGCGACCGGCGCACAGUUGCGUAACGCGUAUGCAACCUUCCUUUAACUGGGGGAUCACACUGAGAACUUUGUACUAAUACCCCAUAAUAUCCUCGAAGGCCUCUUUUCUGGUUUUAAAUUCCGCUGGUUAGAGAUGGGCAUGCGUCGUCUUCGCUAGUUGGUGGGGUAACGGCUCACCAAGGCGACGAUGCCUAAGGGUACGGAGGGGAUAACCCCCCACACUGGUACUGGGACCCUGACCAUAGUCCUACGGGAGGCAGCAGUGGGGAAGAUUGGUCAAUGGACUAUAGUCUAAACCAGCGAUGCCGCGUGCAGGAUGACGGCGCUAGGAGUUGUAGACUGCUGUUGUAAGAGGGUAAUCGCAGAUACGUAUAUCUGUCUGAAAGUAUCGGACGAAUAAGGACCGGCUAACUCCGUG